CAAAGAUUAAGCCAUGCAUGUCUAAGUAUAAGCAAUUUAUACAGCGAAACUGCGAAUGGCUCAUUAAAUCAGUCAUAAUCAACUUGGCAUAAAUUCUACCACCUGGAUAACCGUGGUAAUUCUAGAGCUAAUACAUGCAAGAGAAGUGGCGACGAAAGAAGCCAUGCAUUUAUUAGAUACAAGCCAACUUGGGGUAAAACCCAGUCUUGGUGAAUCAUAAUAACUUGCCGAUCGAGUGAGUCGACAGCUCAAUCGAUUCUCUGCCCUAUCACCGCUUAUCUACGUAGUGUAGUGGACUACUUAGGCAGUUACGGGUAACGGGGAAUAAGGGUUCUAUUCCGGAGAGGGAGCCUGAGAAACGGCUACCACAUCCAAGGAAGGCAGCAGGCGCGCAAAUUACCCAAUCCCGACAUGGGGAGGUAGUGACAAUACAUAACAAUGCAGGACCUUUUAGGUCUUGCAAUUGGAAUGAGUACAAUUUAAAUCCUUUACGAGGAUCAAUUGGAGGGCAAGUCUGGUGCCAGCAGCCGCGGUAAUUCCAGCUCCAAUAGCGUAUAUUAAAGUUGUUGCAGUUAAAACGUCCGUAGUCAAGUGUUUGCCUUUGGACUAGGUUCUCUUCAUUCAGUUGUUGGGAAUAUCUAGGACUAGGCAUUAGCUUAGUUGUGCUCGCCCUUUGGGUUGGGUACAUUUAACUAAGCGUAUUACCAUGAGCAAAUCAGAGUGCUUAAAGCAGGCUUUACAGCUUAAUGUGUUAGCAUGGAAUAAUGAAAUAUGACCCAAGGUCUUUUUCGUUGGUUUCGAGGCCUAAGUAAUGAUAAAUAGGAGUGGUCGGAGGCAUUUGUAUUUGAGCGCUAGAGGUGAAAUUCUUGGAUUGCUCGAAGACAAACUACUGCGAAAGCUUUUGUCCUAGCACAUCUCCGUUGAUCAGGGGCUAAAGUUAGGGGAUCGAAGACGAUUAGAUACCGUCGUAGUCUUAACCACAAACGAUGCCGACUAGAGAUUGGGCUUGUUCAUUACGACUUGCUCAGGAUCUUAGCGAAAGCAAAGUUUUUGGGUUCUGGGGGGAGUACGGCUCGCAAGGCUGAAACUUAAAGGAAUUGACGGAAGGGCACCACCAGGAGUGGAGCCUGCGGCUUAAUUUGACUCAACACGGGGAAACUCACCAGGUCCAGACAUAUGGAGGAAUGACAGAUUGAAAGCUCUUUCUUGAUUAUAUGGGUGGUGGUGCAUGGCCGUUCUUAGUUCGUGGAGUGAUUGUCUGGUUAAUUCCGAUAACGAACGAGACCUUAUUCUGCUAAAUAGCCAGGCCAACUUUUUAGUUGGUCGACCUUGGUCUUACUGGCUUCUUAGAGAGACUAUCGACUUUAAGUCGAAGGAAGUUUGAGGCAAUAACAGGUCUGUGAUGCCCUUAGAUGUUCUGGGCCGCACGCGCGCUACACUGACAAAGGCAGCGAGUUAUAACCUUGGCUGGAAAGCUUGGGUAAACUUUUGAAACUUUGUCGUGCUGGGAUAGAGCAUUGCAAUUAUUGCUCUUCAACGAGGAAUUCCUAGUAAGCGCAAGUCAUCAGCUUGCGUUGAUUACGUCCCUGCCCUUUGUACACACCGCCCGUCGCUACUACCGAUUGAAUGGUGCGAGCAAGUAUUUGGGAUCGUCUUGGUCAAGUCGGCAACGACUAGACCGAGUGCGGCGGUCAUUUGGCUGUCCACGAGAACUUUUCGCAAGCUUCACUAUUUAGAGGAAGUAAAAGUCGUAACA
rnacentral:rRNA from 1 species